AGAGUUUGAUCCUGGCUCAGGAUGAACGCCGGCGGUGUGCCUAAUACAUGCAAGUCGAACGCGUUGGCCCAACUGAUUGAACGUGCUUGCACGGACUUGACGUUGGUUUACCAGCGAGUGGCGGACGGGUGAGUAACACGUAGGUAACCUGCCCCAAAGCGGGGGAUAACAUUUGGAAACAGAUGCUAAUACCGCAUAACAAUUUGAAUCGCAUGAUUCAAAUUUAAAAGAUGGCUUCGGCUAUCACUUUGGGAUGGACCUGCGGCGCAUUAGCUUGUUGGUAGGGUAACGGCCUACCAAGGCUGUGAUGCGUAGCCGAGUUGAGAGACUGAUCGGCCACAAUGGAACUGAGACACGGUCCAUACUCCUACGGGAGGCAGCAGUAGGGAAUCUUCCACAAUGGGCGCAAGCCUGAUGGAGCAACACCGCGUGAGUGAAGAAGGGUUUCGGCUCGUAAAGCUCUGUUGUUAGAGAAGAACGUGCGUGAGAGCAACUGUUCACGCAGUGACGGUAUCUAACCAGAAAGUCACGGCUAACUACGUGCCAGCAGCCGCGGUAAUACGUAGGUGGCAAGCGUUAUCCGGAUUUAUUGGGCGUAAAGCGAGCGCAGGCGGUUUGAUAAGUCUGAUGUGAAAGCCUUUGGCUUAACCAAAGAAGUGCAUCGGAAACUGUCAGACUUGAGUGCAGAAGAGGACAGUGGAACUCCAUGUGUAGCGGUGGAAUGCGUAGAUAUAUGGAAGAACACCAGUGGCGAAGGCGGCUGUCUGGUCUGCAACUGACGCUGAGGCUCGAAAGCAUGGGUAGCGAACAGGAUUAGAUACCCUGGUAGUCCACGCCGUAAACGAUGAGUGCU
rnacentral:rRNA from 1 species